GCUUGCCUGGCUCCCUGAAUGCCAUCCGGGAAGCGCGCCACUGUGGGAGGCGUCCCUCCUGGUUGGCAUUGAGGGAGUCAAGCAGGC
rfam:Triticum aestivum genome assembly, contig: Triticum_aestivum_CS42_TGACv1_scaffold_591847_7BS